AAAAGCCUCUAGAUAGAAAAUAGGUGCCCGUACCGCAAACCGACACAGGUAGUCAAGAUGAGAAUUCUAAGGUGAGCGAGCGAACUCUCGUUAAGGAACUCGGCAAAAUGACCCCGUAACUUCGGGAGAAGGGGUGCUCUUUAGGGUUAACGCCCAGAAGAGCCGCAGUGAAUAGGCCCAAGCGACUGUUUAUCAAAAACACAGGUCUCUGCUAAACCGUAAGGUGAUGUAUAGGGGCUGACGCCUGCCCGGUGCUGGAAGGUUAAGAGGAGUGGUUAGCUUCUGCGAAGCUACGAAUCGAAGCCCCAGUAAACGGCGGCCGUAACUAUAACGGUCCUAAGGUAGCGAAAUUCCUUGUCGGGUAAGUUCCGACCCGCACGAAAGGCGUAACGAUUUGGGCACUGUCUCAACGAGAGACUCGGUGAAAUCAUAGUACCUGUGAAGAUGCAGGUUACCCGCGACAGGACGGAAAGACCCCGUGGAGCUUUACUGUAGCCUGAUAUUGAAAUUCGGCACAGCUUGUACAGGAUAGGUAGGAGCCUUUGAAACGUGAGCGCUAGCUUACGUGGAGGCGCUGGUGGGAUACUACCCUAGCUGUGUUGGCUUUCUAACCCGCACCACUUAUCGUGGUGGGAGACAGUGUCAAGCGGGCAGUUUGACUGGGGCGGUCGCCUCCUAAAAGGUAACGGAGGCGCUCAAAGGUUCCCUCAGAAUGGUUGGAAAUCAUUCAUAGAGUGUAAAGGCAUAAGGGAGCUUGACUGCGAGACCUACAAGUCGAGCAGGGUCGAAAGACGGACUUAGUGAUCCGGUGGUUCCGCAUGGAAGGGCCAUCGCUCAACGGAUAAAAGCUACCCCGGGGAUAACAGGCUUAUCUCCCCCAAGAGUUCACAUCGACGGGGAGGUUUGGCACCUCGAUGUCGGCUCAUCGCAUCCUGGGGCUGUAGUCGGUCCCAAGGGUUGGGCUGUUCGCCCAUUAAAGCGGUACGCGAGCUGGGUUCAGAACGUCGUGAGACAGUUCGGUCCCUAUCCGUCGUGGGCGUAGGAAAUUUGAGAGGAGCUGUCCUUAGUACGAGAGGACCGGGAUGGACAUACCUCUGGUGUACCAGUUGUCGUGCCAACGGCAUAGCUGGGUAGCUAUGUGUGGACGGGAUAAGUGCUGAAAGCAUCUAAGCAUGAAGCCCCCCUCAAGAUGAGAUUUCCCAACUUCGGUUAUAAGAUCCCUCAAAGAUGAUGAGGUUAAUAGGUUCGAGGUGGAAGCAUGGUGACAUGUGGAGCUGACGAAUACUAAUCGAUCGAAGACUUAAUCAA
rnacentral:rRNA from 1 species